GACGAACCGUGCGAACGUUGUUCGGAAUCACUGGGCUUAAAGGGCGCGUAGGCGGCUUGGCAAGUCCGGGGUGAAAGCCCCCAGCUCAACUGGGGAAGUGCCUUGGAUACUGCCAAGCUCGAGCGAGAUAGGGGUCGUGGGAACUUCCGGGUGGAGCGGUGAAAUGCGUUGAUAUCGGAAGGAACGCCGGUGGCGAAAGCGCACGACUGGAUCUCUUCUGACGCUGAGGCGCGAAAGCCAGGGGAGCAAACGGG
rnacentral:rRNA from 1 species